rnacentral:tRNA from 1 species
GUUUCUAUUUAUAUAGUUUAAAAAAACAUUAUAUUUUCAGUAUAAAAUUAAUUCUUAGUUUAUAA